CUCUUGGAGGAAUGACUAAUGUACAGUAAACAUUCAUUCUGCAGUUUCACCAAACAUCAACUGAGAUCCAAGUCAAAUCCAGUUCCACACUGUGAGGAGGAGUCAAUGCAAAACUCAGAUGUCUUCCACCUCUACUUAUCUGACUGCAGAGAGGAUGACAGAGAACAGUGGACACACAGUUUAACAUGAUGGACUAUAGGACAGGACUGCUGCUGUUAACUAUCUGCUGGGCAGGUGUUGAUGGUCAAACUCUGACAGAAUCUGAAACAGUGGUUAAAAGGCCUGGAGAAUCUCACAGAUUGACCUGUACAGCCUCUGGAUUUAACUUUGCUGGCUACUGGAUGGCCUGGAUCAGACAGGCUCCUGGAAAAGGACUAGAGUGGAUUGCUUAUAUCAGCAGUGGUAGUGGUAGCAGCAAAUACUACUCUCAGUCAGUUCAAGGCCGGUUUACCAUCUCCAGAGACAACAGCAGACAGCAGCUGUAUCUGCAGAUGAACAGUCUGAAGACUGAAGAUUCUGCUGUUUAUUAUUGUGCUCGAGACUCACAGUGACACAGGAA